GACGAACGCUGGCGGCGUGCUUAACACAUGCAAGUCGAACGGAAAGGCCCUGCUUUUGUGGGGUGCUCGAGUGGCGAACGGGUGAGUAACACGUGAGUAACCUGCCCUUGACUUUGGGAUAACUUCAGGAAACUGGGGCUAAUACCGGAUAGGAGCUCCUGCUGCAUGGUGGGGGUUGGAAAGUUUCGGCGGUUGGGGAUGGACUCGCGGCUUAUCAGCUUGUUGGUGGGGUAGUGGCUUACCAAGGCUUUGACGGGUAGCCGGCCUGGGAGGGUGACCGGCCACAUUGGGCCUGAGAUACGGCCCAGACGCCUACGGGAGGCAGCAGUGGGGAAUAUUGCACAAUGGGCGGAAGCCUGAUGCAGCAACGCCGCGUGCGGGAUGACGGCCUUCGGGUUGUAAACCGCUUUCGCCUGUGACGAAGCGUGAGUGACGGUAAUGGGUAAAGAAGCACCGGCUAACUACGU
rnacentral:rRNA from 1 species